GUAAAUUUAGGAGUGUCAGGCACAGAGUUUUGGCUAAUGGAAAGAAAUCCAGAUUGUCAAUGAUGUACUUCGGCGCGCCAUCUCUGACUGCAAAAGUGGCGCCAAUACCAUUGUUCCUUAGAGAAGAGAAAUCUAGGUAUAAGGACUUUACCUGGUAUGAAUACAAGAAAGCUGCUUAUUCUUCAAGGUUGGCAGAUAAUAGGCUUGACAUCUUCACCGCAGAGAAGAAAGAAGCAUGUGACAGGGUGUGAACUUUUCCUUGUAUAUUAUAUGUUUCCUUUUCCUUAGGCUUCUUUUACUUUUUUUUCCCCGCUCCUUUUCUCCGCUUUAGGUUGAAGAUAGGGUCUGUUUACAUGUGCAGUAAAUUAUAUAGGUACUCAAAAAUGCACACGGAAAUGGCUGUUAAUGUUUCCCAUGCAAAUGGACUUACAGUCUCAAUAAUAGGUUUUUAAUGUUUU